AAAGGAAUUGACGGGGGCCCGCACAAGCGGCGGAGCAUGCGGAUUAAUUCGAUGCAACGCGAAGAACCUUACCAAGGCUUGACAUGUUCUCGAUCGCCGUAGAGAUACGGUUUCCCCUUUGGGGCGGGUUCACAGGUGGUGCAUGGUUGUCGUCAGCUCGUGUCGUGAGAUGUUGGGUUAAGUCCCGCAACGAGCGCAACCCUCGUUCCAUGUUGCCAGCACGUCGUGGUGGGGACUCAUGGGAGACUGCCGGGGUCAACUCGGAGGAAGGUGAGGACGACGUCAAAUCAUCAUGCCCCUUAUGUCUUGGGCUUCACGCAUGCUACAAUGGCCGGUACAAUGGGUUGCGAUACUGUGAGGUGGAGCUAAUCCCAAAAAGCCGGUCUCAGUUCGGAUUGGGGUCUGCAACUCGACCCCAUGAAGUCGGAGUCGCUAGUAAUCGCAGAUCAGCAACGCUGCGGUGAAUACGUUCCCGGGCCUUGUACACACCGCCCGU
rnacentral:rRNA from 1 species